GACAGAAGGGCAGGGACUACGGUAGCCGACGCACGCACCGGCCUAUCCGCUGAGGAGGCGACAAUCUCUUAACAGGAUUCCCUUACGUUGGUUCGCGGCAAGGCCUUUGCAUAGCCCAUAAAUGCGGUUGAUUGCGUCCGCCUCCAUAUCGCCAAGGAUCCGGUUUUACCUUGUUUUGUACUGCGCUGUUAACUUGUUUAGCAGUACACGUGGCACGGUGGAACAUUUAAGCUCCCCUGGACUUGACAAAAAGUUUGUGCACUUGGAGUGAUUUGGUUUGCUUGGGUUACGUCACACAAGAGCACAGCCUUCG
rnacentral:lncRNA from 1 species